UCAAAACAGCCACCUAUGUAGACUUAAAUUUGAUUCGGGUUGUAUGGUUUGAUGCCUGCCUAUUUAAAUGGAGCUGCUAUGUGCAGAGAUAAGUGUGAGGCUUAGAAACAAACCCUAAAUUGCUUGUUCUUCCAGCUCUUUUGUCAUGCUGAUUUCUCUAUUUUUUAAUUGGAGAAAUAAAGUAACAUUUUUAAAAUAUUUUUUUUUCCGAGCAAAGCAGGAAUGAUAAGGAGGUUUACUCUGGAGCCCGUACACAGGCAUUUCAAAAGGAAUAAAGCUAAGGGAAAAUCACAAGAGAAUUGCUAAGGAAAUCGCAUCUGUUUAAAACUAAAGAUAUCCCACUCAACCUAGCAGGAAGAGGACAUGGCAGAACGUUUCUAUGUGGUUAACCUGAGCUAGCAUCCUGGGACAAGUUGGCUGCAUGGUCCUCCAUACAUCAAACAAUGCGCAAGUCCCGGCUCAACCUCAGCCAUUCUUGGAUGUGUGGUGGCUGCUUUAGUGGAGAGGGAAUGAAGGAGGGAAGAACUCUACUGUCCCAAGUUCACUUGCCUUGUCAAUCCUUUUAAUAUCAUGCACAGUGACUUUUAGCUACUGCAUACUGAUCUGGAGGUUCACAUCAAACCUGGACUUGAAAGCCACCCAUCACAAGUGGAUAUCCUGAUCUCACUGCAAGCCAACAUCCAUUGCCAAAAUCCCCUGCAUGUGGGCAACAACUGGAGCCACAACCCAGUAGAGGACCUGAUCAGCAUCUGGAGGGAGAUUAAAGAACCAACAGGUACUCCAUUUCUGCCACUGCAACAAUGUGGUAUUCAAAAGGAUCAUGGUCAAAAUGGCAGUCUGUGAAAACAACUGUGGUUUGCAAAAGUGCUACAUGAAGUACAAGUUCCUUGAACAGCAAUUCAUGAAGGCCUGGGAUACCAACCAUGUGUUGGUUGUACACAGAAUGGUGUGCUUGUAUUACAAGAAGCUGUCCUGCAUCCUUACAGUAAAAGACAUGGUCAAGUAGACCUGGCUCUAAUCUCCCAUGACUCAUACAGUGAUUUAGAUGAGACUACUGUUGCGGGCCCUACAAAGCUGCCUAAACACAUGACAAUACAAGAGAUGACCAUGGAGCUGAGCCAUGUUGAGGAUUCCCUGUCUAUCCACCCUGUCUCCCCAUGGCAGUGGUACUGGAAGUGAGCUGAACAUCACUGGCUUGCCCAGUUGCAAACUGUCAGGGGCCCUAAAAAGCAGCCCAGCUCAGUCCAGCCCAGACUAAUUGUCCAGUUGGCCAAACCCUCCAGAGGCCUUAACUAGCAUUCCCACCAUGGCUGAUGAACCUUCUGGCUACUAUUAGGACCUCCUGAUUAGCUGCUGAGAAGAGAAGUCACCGCAUAAAAGUCCAUCUCUGGCAGCAGACUACAGGACAGCCAACCCUUUUGCCUGAAGAUCUGUUGUAGUAAGCUUGCACAUUUUUGGUUUUCUAGCUUCUGAACCUGUUUAGCUUGCUUCUGGACUCUGGCUUUUGGGAUUUCCUCUCCACUUUUGUAGCUUUGUUCUUAAUUCCAGAACCCUGACUUUAGAACCUUGCACUGUGACUUGUAUUAUGCCUCUGGGAUUCUGCCUCAGAUUUGGUUACUUGGACUCUAGCACCCAUUUCCCCAUGAACGACGCAUGCACCCUGUGGCUGGCGGGGCAUGGUGGUGCUGGCUGUGGUGAAAACAUGGCAGCAGGAGCACCAGGGUGGUUAGUGGGAGGUCCCACAGAUGCUGGUGGUGCUGGCAGCAGUGGGCAGGGUGGUGGUGGCGAGCCCCGACCAGGGGUCAGCAACCACCUGCAGACACUGCUGGCAGUGUUGGCAGCAGCCAGUGACAAUCACUGACCACCUGCAGAUGCUGCUGGCAGUGUCGGCAGCAGGAAUGGCGAACGGUGACCAUCCACACACUGUCAGUGGUGCCUUUUCAUAGGAGGUGCACCACCACGCUUAGGGGGUGCAUGUGCAGCUGCAUGCACCCCCUACGCAUUGCCACUGCAUUUCUCUAUAUCCUGUGUGGUUCUAGAGCUCCAUCUCUAGUCCUCCCUAGAAGCCUACCCAGUUGGCCAGACUGCCUAUGGGCCAGUCUUUACACAAACUGCCCACGCACAUCUACACAAGAUCCCUUCUGAUGCCUGUGUUGCUCCUGGAAAAGUUGCCAUCCUCCCAGUCCCAGGGUCCCAGCCAGUCUGAGGGUACCACAAAACCCACUCCUGCCUGCACAUAGUAAAUUUGCUCAUGCCAUGUUUUGAUGCCUUAGUUUAUUGCCACCACAUGUAGUGAGUGAGGUACAGAGCAGUUGGCAAAGGCCCAAAAAGGUAGUGAGGUUCAUUUCUGGGAAGAGGAAGGAAACCCAAGCCUAGGUUGGUGGCUAGCAACCAUGCCUCCACUCAGAUGCAGCUCUAGCAUUGCUGUGGACAUAUGUCAGGCAUGUUGAAUUGAGAACAACUCAUUUCAGUCAGGUAGUUAACUAUUAUGAUUGUUUCAUGGAGGAACGCCUAUAGCAGAGAUGGCUUCAUCCUUGCUUGUUGUGGGCAGCCUCCUUUCAACCUCAAAUAAGAAAUAGUUAUGGUACUACCCCAAUUGACACCUCAAGCAUUGCCAGUGUCUUAAGCUGAGUGCUGACAUUUCAGUGGCAGUUUAGGAAUGGUUCUGAUCUUCCAAAAAGUGCAUUUUCUAACAUCUAAGACAUUUUGAAACUGUUAAUGAUACAGUUUUGAGUGGACAUUGUUUUGGAAACAGAAAAGACAUGUUAUGUGAUAACGUCUGUGACACCAGAUUUUGACGAAUGCCAAAAUACUUUGUGCUUUGUUCUGCAUGCUGUAUAA